UACGGGGGGGGGCAAGCGUUGUUCGGAAUUACUGGGCGUAAAGGGCGCGUAGGCGGUUCGCUAAGUUGGAUGUGAAAACUCUGGGCUCAACCCAGAGCCUGCAUCCAAAACUGGCGGGCUAGAGUUCUGGAGGGGGUAGCGGAUUCCUGGUGUAGCGGUGAAAUGCGUAGAUAUCAGGAGGAACACCGGUGGCGAAGGCGGCAUCCUGGACCAAUUCUGACGCUGAGGAGCGAAAGCCAGGGGAGCAAACGGG
rnacentral:rRNA from 1 species